UUGUAAACUCCUGUUAAGCGGGAAGAAAAGCUUGCGAGUAAUAUGCGCAAGUGUUGACGGUACCGCUAGAGAAAGCUCCGGCUAACUUCGUGC
rnacentral:rRNA from 1 species